AAAAAAAAAAAAAAAUGGGGAAAGUGUUCAGGUCGCUGCUGUUUGCGUCAUAUCUGCUCCCACCGUGUCUUACCUUCGCUUCCUUCCAAGGGCGUAAACGUGCUGAGGAAAAUUUGAACAGGCUGAUGGAGAAGGAGAGACGUGAGGAGCUCUCAGAUAAGUGAAGCCUCAUCUCUGGAUAGCAGGACAUAAUUUGGUUGGUUGUCUACAAUUUGUAAGAUAUGUAUGUUUAGGCACAAAUGGUUCUUGAUAUAGUUUAGAAUACAUGAAAUGCAAAAACAUUUCAGUGAACUCACAAGGCAGCAAUAACAGUUCUAGAAGGGAGAGUGUGCAGGGGAGACUUGAGAAAUAGAGGAAGAGGAGGAAACUACUGAGAGAAUUGUUCGACUCAAACAUUAAACCUGAAACCAAGUGAUGAAUAUUACAGAGCCCCUGACCUAAAGAUGUAGUAGUAUAGGCUUAUGUAGUUGAGCAUAAAGCUGUCUUUUGUAGUAAUGUAGUUAUGAACUCCAAUGUGACUAUGGAGUUAAGUUGAAGACUUGCAGAUUUGGUGUAGAGUAACUGGAUGCAGAGCCCACUUGACAUGAUCUUUCAUUUGAGUAGCUAGAUGACUCUAUUAUAAUUAUAAUUCAUGAAGGACUAUCUCAAAGUUA